UACGUAGGGUGCGAGCGUUGUCCGGAAUUAUUGGGCGUAAAGGGCUCGUAGGCGGUCUGUUGCGUCAGGAGUGAAAACUCGGGGCUUAACCCCGAGCCUGCUUCUGAUACGGGCAGACUAGAGGUAUGCAGGGGAGAACGGAAUUCCUGGUGUAGCGGUGAAAUGCGCAGAUAUCAGGAAGAACACCCGUGGCGAAGGCGGCUCUCUGGGACGGUACUGACGCUGAGACGCGAAAGCGUGGGGAGCGAAGCAGG
rnacentral:rRNA from 1 species